rnacentral:tRNA from 1 species
ACAGUGGUGGCUCAAAGGUAGGAUUCUCGCCUUUCACGCAGGAGACCCAGGUUCGAUUCCUGGCCAAAUGUA